AACGAACGCUGGCGGCAGGCUUAACACAUGCAAGUCGAACGGGCGUAGCAAUACGUCAGUGGCGGACGGGUGAGUAACACGUGGGAAUAUGCCUUUCGGUUCGGAACAACUCGGGGAAACCCGUGCUAAUUCCGGAUACGCCCUUACGGGGAAGAUUUAUCGCCGAAAGAUUAGCCCGCGUUGGAUUAGCUAGUUGGUGAGGUAAAGGCUCACCAAGGCGACGAUCCAUAGCUGGUUUGAGAGAACGACCAGCCACACUGGGACUGAGACACGGCCCAGACUCCUACGGGAGGCAGCAGUGGGGAAUCUUGGACAAUGGGCGCAAGCCUGAUCCAGCCAUGCCGCGUGAGUGAUGAAGGCCUUCGGUU
rnacentral:rRNA from 1 species